rnacentral:rRNA from 1 species
GUAGGUGGCAAGCGUUGUCCGGAAUUAUUGGGGCGUAAAGCGCGCGCAGGCGGUUCUUUAAGUCUGAUGUGAAAGCCCACGGGCUCAACCGUGGAGGGUCAUUGGAAACUGGAGAACUUGAGUACAGAAGAGGAAAGCGGAAUUCCACGUGUAGCGGUGAAAUGCGUAGAGAUGUGGAGGAACACCAGUGGCGAAGGCGGCUUUCUGGUCUGUAACUGACGCUGAGGCGCGAAAGCGUGGGGAGCAAACAGGAUUAGAUACCCUGGUAGUCCGCGCCGUAAACGAUGAGUGCUAAGUGUUAGGGGGUUUCCGCCCCUUAGUGCUGCAGCUAACGCAUUAAGCACUCCGCCUGGGGAGUACGGCCGCAAAGGCUG